AUAAAGUGUUGAUCCUAACUGACCUAAGACAGGGAAUUUUUACUAGGAUUAAAUGUCAGGAACUGUCAAAAAACGGAGUUUAAAUGUAUUUGGCUAAGGUGUAUGUAAUCUUCCGACUUCAACUGUAUAAACUCUAACUGGCCCUGAGGAAGACACAGGGAUGCCGAGACAUUGGUAAAUACCCAUUACAUUUCUGGGAGUUUAUAUAUGGAGUGUGCAACUUUCUUUAUCGCCAUUUUGUCCUUAGCCAAACGUUUUGUGGAACUGGUCCCUUUAAAGGUGUCAGUCCAUCCGGGGCGGGAGCCCUGCAUGGUAGAAAAGAAUGUGGCCGCGGGCCACUACAUAGGGAAUAGGGUGCCAUUUGGGAUGCAGCCUGUGUUGAAGGCAGGGGCCUUUCAUCCUGAGAUUCCUUUGAGAGAGAGAAUGUAAACACGGGCCCCCGGCCAAGCCCAUCAGCCAGGCUUACGACUAAUCACAUUGUAUCUCGAUUGUUUUAAUUCCACAGGGGAUAUCAAAGAGAGAAGCUGGCUGGGGCAAUAGAGGAAUAGUGCUGGGUUGGGGUGGGUGGAUAGUACUGGCUGAGGGGGGAGAAGGGGGGAUGGAGGUAGUUUAAGGCUCUAUUAACAGGGCACAAUGCCUGCCCAAUGAUCUCUUUAGUGCUCCACACUGGUCCAGUCUUUAACAGUACAGUUGUACUGGAGACAGCGCUGCAAUGGAGAGAGAGAAAGAGACAGAGGGAAAGUGGGAGAGAGAGAGAGCAUGAGAGAGAGAGCAGAGGGAGAGAGAGGGGGCAGAGGGAAAUAGAGAGAGAGGCAGAGGGAAAGAGAUAGGCAGAGGGAAAGAGAGGUAGAGAGAGAGAGGCAGAGGGAAAGAGAAAGAAAGGCAGAGGGAAAGGGAGAGUGAGAAAGGCAACAAAAGAGAGAGCGAGAGGGGCAACACGAGAGGGAGGAAGGCGGAUGUGCUUGGUCAGUGGAGCUUGCCUUGCCUUGGAGGAUCUGCUGCAUGGCUGCUUUCUGUGCUGCCUGUUCUGCCUGCCUGUGCUGUUUGUCUGCCUGUGCUGUCUGUUCUGC
rnacentral:lncRNA from 1 species